UACCAGCACCCCGAGUGGUCGGGACGAUUAUUGGGCCUAAAGCAUCCGUAGCCGGCCUUACAAGUCCUCCGUUAAAUCCAGCUGCUUAACAGAUGGGCUGCGGAGGAUACUAUAAGACUAGGAGGCAGGAGAGGCAAGCGGUACUCAGUGGGUAGGGGUAAAAUCCGUUGAUCCAUUGAAGAACACCGGUGGCGAAGGCGGCGACCUGGUCCGAUACUGACGCUGAGGCGCGAAAGCGUGGGGAGCAAACAGG
rnacentral:rRNA from 1 species